rnacentral:rRNA from 1 species
AUGUCUCCAAAGAACUCGGCCAUGAAGACGGGGUACCUUGCCGCGAGGAUGAGCUUGUGUGCAGCAAAAGACUUGCCAGACACGAGAAAUGUGGCAUCGGCUCCCGUAUUGCUCUGCAGGAGCUCAGCGAGGUGCCGGUGCAGGUCUGGCGAUGGCACUGGCGCUUCUUCGACAGGGUAUGUCGCAGAAUCAGGCAGCUCCUUGAGGACGUUAACAAUGCAUUGCAGAGUGAAAGAAUCACCCCUUAGAUAA